rnacentral:sRNA from 1 species
GCCGGGCGUGGUGGCGGGCGCCUGUAGUCCCAGCUACUCGGAGGCUGAGGCGGGAGAAUGGCGUGAACCCAGGAGGCGGAGCUUGCAGUGAGCUGAGAUCCGGCCACUGCAAUCCAGCCUGGGCGACACAGCGAGACUCCGUCUCAA